AAAACAUAUCUUUUUGAAUAUAAUUUUAAGUAAACUCUGCCCAAUGAUUAAUUAAAUGGCUGCAGUAUUUUGACUGUACAAAGGUAGCAUAAUAAAUUGUUUUUUAAAUGAAAACUUGAAUGAAAGAGAUGAUGAAAUAUAGACUUUUUUAGAUUAAUUUUUUGAAUUUAUUUUUUGAAUAAAAAAAUUUAAAUAAUUUUAAGGGACGAGAAGACCCUAUAGAAUUUAACAAUAUAAAAUUUAUUAAUAUAAUUAUAUUAUUUUUGUUUUUUUGGGAGGAAAUUUAAAAUUAUUAACUUUAAUGAUUAAUAACAUAUUUAAAUGUUUAUAUAGAUUUUUGAAUUAAAAAUUUUAGAUUAAAUUACCUUAGGGAUAACAGCAUAAUAGUUUUUUAUAGUUCUUAUUGAAAAAAUUGUUU
rnacentral:rRNA from 1 species